GCCUGGGUGGCUCAGUCCGUUGAGCGUCUGACUUCAGCUCAGGUCACUAUCUUACAGUUUGUGGGUUUGAGCCCCCGCAUCAGGCU
rnacentral:tRNA from 1 species